GGCCAGUUACAGCCCUCCUCUUCUCACAGUGACCCUGGGCCUGCCUGUGGCCCAGCCCACAAGCUCCUGCCAUUCAGCCUCCCGCACCUGGAGUGGUCUCCUUCCAGGUUCAUAGGCCACACUCCAAUGCCGUGCAUCAGCUGAGCUGGAAGUAAGGAAAGGCCCUGGGGACUUAGGACCCCUGAAGACGCCGGGGCCCUCUUCCACACAGGAGGGUGGAACACCAUUGGACUCCACCCAGAGAGUGCGGCCUUCAAACUCACAGGUGACUGAUAGCAAUGGCAAGAAUUACUGGAUGGAAGGGAAAUGGCAGCUUCAUCCUUACCAGUUGCUCAGGCCAGAAAACCUGGAACCAUCUGUAACUUCUCUCCCUCACGCCUCAGACCAGCCA